rnacentral:lncRNA from 1 species
AUUCCCUUUUAAAAAAACAAAAAAAAAACUCUCCAAACACUCUCCCUUUCCCAGUCGUCCAGCCAGGGUCCGGGCAUCGGCCGGUCGUCAGCCACCGUGCCGGCCGCCGAUCUCCGGCGACAGCACCGCCGUCUAUGGUGGUCGAAAAAGGAAAAAACCUCAGAUCCGGAUCUUUCGAAGCCCCUAAACCCAAAUCUGGCCCCAAAACCCUCAAAAUACUGCUGAAAGAUCCCCCAAUCCUCAAGAAACCCUUCAAUUUCCGGCCAUUCACGGCGAUCUGGACGCCACUAAGGUUGCUUCUUUCCUCUUUUACUUUGUUUUAUUCGCAUGUAGGAAAAAAAAUGAAAUAUAACAAUAAAAAAAUAAAGAUUGUAAAUAUCAACCUUUUUUGAUCGAUUUCGCUCUUUUGGUAUUCUGUCGUUUUUUGUAUUGUAAAAAUAUUUGCUCUUUUUUAUUGAUCUCUCAAAAUCCUCCCCCCUUUACAAUAUUUUUAGUCUGCUUUUUUAUAGCAGUCAUGAACAAAAGAAAAAAGGUAUGAAAUCUCUUCGUGCAUCUCGCUGAUUUCCUCCGAUUUUUUUGUUAUUCUACCAAUUCUUGUUUCCUUUUUUUGUUAUUUCUUGCUGUGCAGGUGAACGUGGCUCGUGCGAGGCGGCGCGGAUGCUUACCCUAGACACCUUAAGGUUUCCUGAAUCUGUUUUGGGCCGCAUGUGUAAUUGGGCCAUGUAUUUUGGGCCAACUAUUUUGUCUUAUUAAUUGGGCCAUAUAGGCCUAUUUGUAAUUUGGGCCUUUUAGACUCGAGCGAAAUCGGGCAUUUACACUAUCGGUUUAGGGAUUUCAACAUUUAUAGAUUUGAAGAUUUUAGGGAUUCAAUAAAGAUUUCGAAGGUUAGGGAUUUGGGGAUUUCACGAUUUGGGGAUUUUAGAAGUUGGGAAAAAAGUAUCAAAUUUGGGGGUUUUCAGAUUUAGGGGUUUUUUUGUUUUAUGUUUAUUAAAUUUGUUUAUUUUUUGCCACGUCAGCUUAUUUAUUUUAAUGUCAGC